UUUCGCAUUGGGUUUGUUAUCGACAAUCGCAUUACCAACCGCGUGCAAUAGGUGAGUUUUACCUAAGCCUGUUCCCCCAUA
rnacentral:antisense_RNA from 1 species